GUGAGAGAAGGGAGGAAAGAAUGGUUACUAUUCACCUUCUCCUUCAAUUGCUUGUAUCUUGAGUUACGGAGCUCCGAUUGAUGAGCUAUUUGCGACAAUGCGAAACUCUUACCGAAUCCGUCAUUUCUAACCAAGCUUUGCUGGGUGAUUUAGCAUUGGAAUAUUAUUAGGUUUUGCCCCUAAUACCGUCAGACAAGAUUGAAGUUUGGUGUUUAUUGAAGUGAGCUUGGUGGUCUUGAGCUUUGAGAUUAAGCAUGGUGGCCUUUGCUUGGUGGUUUAAGUUGUGUGAGAAUCGACCAAGAUGCAGGUCGCAAAUCCACCUGGAUGAGUUUGCGGACAUGGUGACAGAGAAGAAGAUGGUUUCUCCUUUGUUUUAUUCUUCUUUAUUUUGAUGUAGUUACUCUCUCAACCUUUAUAUUUAUAUAACUUUGUUGCCUUAAAGGCUUUUGCUUUAACCUUUGAGAGAUAGGAAGUAAGCCUUUUGUAAAACUCUGUUGUAUCUCUCGACUAGUCGCCGUA